UUCAUAAUGGAUAAGAAACAGAUAACCACUUAACAUCAAGUUCAUGCACUUGACACUCACCAAUCGAAAUAAGGGAGUAAGUGCGUAAACGAGCCUUUAGGUGUUCCCUCUCGAGAUCCUCUUGAAGGUCUCCUUGAGCACCUGAGCAAAUGGUAAUUGUCUAUUACACACUAUCGCUUAAAACCCCUAAUUAUCGAGGAAGAUUGCACACUUGUAUAAUCUAAGAAAAUUUCAUGAAAAUGAGCCUUAAUUACUAGUAAAUCAAGGCUCAAAAAUGGGGUUUUAAAACACAAGUGAAAUCUGAUUUUCAUCUUUGAAAUCAAGUGUAAAACGGCUUAACAAUAUCGAAGGAAAAUAGAGAGUUCGCAACCCUCAAUUUCCUUUAAGUUCGGAAAUUUCAGAUUUGUCACCUAUACUUUGAAAAAUCGUAUCUCAUUCUUUACAAGUCCAAAAUUGGAAAACUUGGUGCCAUUGGAAACUACUUCCAAAGUACUAAAAGUUCUUAGAAGAUACUUUUCCAUGAAUUUAAGUGGAAGGUAUUCAAAAAUGGGCUUAAAGUUACUGUUUCAGGGUGCUCAGAAUUGUGCUGGGGUUGGUUUUUCGCUAACUUUGGAAAUUCGGUAAAAUUCAUACGUUGCAAACCAGUCUCUGAAAUUUAUAACUCAAUUAGAGUUGCAAGUAAAGUUUAGGACAGAACAAGUGGAUCAAGAAUCGGAGUUUUGAACACCGAGAUACGGUCACUCAAAGUUGGAGGAAAAACGAAACUGUUAAGCUAGUUUCCAGAUUUGAGUUCCAAACUUUGGGACUUUAGUUUGAUAGCAAGAUAGACUCGGAACGGCACCAAAUUUGGUAUGAAUAUACUACCAUAAAAGGGCCACUCCCUUGCCAAAUUUCAUAGAAAAUAUGAAAGGGAAGUCGGUUAACAAAACCGUUGAAAUCGCAAGAAGUUCUAAGGCUAAGCUGCCUUUGAGCUUCCGGUUUGCCAUUUUCCAAACAUUUGGCCAAGAAACGACUCAAACAUGAUUCAUUCCAGUAGGUAAUGUCUAAAAUAUAUCCAAGGUACAUUUGAUAGGUGAUUUACACCAAGAAAUUUCGGAUAACAAGUCCCAAAUCAUUGCUAGUUCAAAUCUGUCCAAAUGUAAGGUAUUCCUUCACCAGACCAGAUUCGAGUUUUGAUCAUAAAUCACUCAAUUCAACUCGGAAUUGAGCUUGGUUGGUGGCGUUGGAAAAUAGACUCAUAAGGCUACAUUUUCUCAGAAGAAACCAUUUCAAAAUCUGUCCAUAACCAGCUCGUUCGUGAGCAUUAAAUUGCAGCUCAUGAGCUUCCUUCCAGGAAGCAAUGAAACAGGACAGUGGAUUUCAAAUGAAUGGUUUGGCUAGCUCAAGUGGAACCAGGACAUGCAUUUUAUACCAACCGAAAGCUAGGAAUGUCUAGUUUCCAAUGCCACAAACGAACUCGAUUCCGACAUCGGAGCAACAAGUUAUGGCCGAAACAAGAAGACUGCCUGGGGCAGUGACGGGAUUCAAAUUCCAGAUUUUCAAGCUUUCGAAUUUCCGACAUUUGGGUGAUCAAAUCAUGUUAUUUUUCAAUGAAACUUUUAACACAACCAAUAUAACAUGUAAACAACAUAAACAAACCAUUAGAACCUCAAAAUUUGACAUUAAAGUGCUUGAACAAGGCAGGGGCAAAAUGGUCACUUUUGGUCAUUGCACCAUCUUGGAGUUUCUAACAAUAACCCAACAUUAUACCACUAAUUUAAGCACUAAACUAACAUAAUUAUCAUCAUCAACCACCAAAUCAGUUCAUCAACCAAAGUGGGAGUUCAUAGAGCCCACACACCAAAAUCCAACAUAAAUAAAGCUACCCACUUACAUGCAUGAGCUUAUAUGUGCAAUAGAACUUCCAUAAAUCAAGAUUUUAAAGCCGGAUCGUCACUUACUUCACUAGAUGUUCAAGGCAGAAAUUUUCGGUCUUCUUGAGCCAAAGAAAAACCGUGAGAGCAGCCUCCUUUCCUAGCUCAAAGUGCUCUCCAAGUGAUUAGUUAAGUGUAGUUAAAUUUUGGUGUGAUUUGGAGAAGAUUUGGUGAAGAAAUGAUGAAAGAAAAUUGAUGAAGCAAGUUUGGUUCUUGCUCUUUGAGAUGCACGGCUGAAAUGGAGGGAAAAGAAAAGAUGUUGCACGCC
rnacentral:lncRNA from 1 species